rnacentral:rRNA from 1 species
UACGGAGGGUCCAAGCGUUAUCCGGAAUCAUUGGGUUUAAAGGGUCCGUAGGCGGUUUUGUAAGUCAGUGGUGAAAGCCCAUCGCUCAACGGUGGAACGGCCAUUGAUACUGCAAGACUUGAAUUAUUAGGAAGUAACUAGAAUAUGUAGUGUAGCGGUGAAAUGCUUAGAGAUUACAUGGAAUACCAAUUGCGAAGGCAGGUUACUACUAGUGGAUUGACGCUGAUGGACGAAAGCGUGGGUAGCGAACAGG